rnacentral:rRNA from 1 species
GAUGAACGCUGGCGGCGUGCCUAAUACAUGCAAGUCGAGCGAACAGACGAGGAACUUGCUCCUCUGACGUUAGCGGCGGACGGGUGAGUAACACGUGGAUAACCUACCUAUAAGACUGGGAUAACUUCGGGAAACCGGAGCUAAUACCGGAUAAUAUAUUGAACCGCAUGGUUCAAUAGUGAAAGACGGUUUUGCUGUCACUUAUAGAUGGAUCCGCGCCGCAUUAGCUAGUUGGUAAGGUAACGGCUUACCAAGGCAACGAUGCGUAGCCGACCUGAGAGGGUGAUCGGCCACACUGGAACUGAGACACGGUCCAGACUCCUACGGGAGGCAGCAGUAGGGAAUCUUCCGCAAUGGGCGAAAGCUUGACGGAGCAACGCCGCGUGAGUGAUGAAGGUCUUCGGAUCGUAAAACUCUGUUAUUAGGGAAGAACAAAUGUGUAAGUAACUAUGCACGUCUUGACGGUACCUAAUCAGAAAGCCACGGCUAACUACGUG